rnacentral:rRNA from 1 species
UAAUACAGAAGCCCCAAGCAUUACCCGGAAUUACUGGGCGUAAAGCGUGCGCAGGCGGUUAUGUAAGACAGUUGUGAAAUCCCCGGGCUCAACCUGGGAAUUGCAUCUGUGACUGCAUAGCUAGAGUACGGUAGAGGGGGAUGGAAUUCCGCGUGUAGCAGUGAAAUGCGUAGAUAUGCGGAGGAACACCGAUGGCGAAGGCAAUCCCCUGGACCUGUACUGACGCUCAUGCACGAAAGCGUGGGGAGCAAACAGGAUUAGAUACCCUGGUAGUCCACGCCCUAAACGAUGUCAACUGGUUGUUGGGUGCAUUAGUACUCAGUAACGAAGCUAACGCGUGAAGUUGACCGCCUGGGGAGUACGGCCGCAAGGUU